UACGUAGGGGGCAAGCGUUGUCCGGAUUUAUUGGGCGUAAAGAGCUCGUAGGCGGCCUGUCGCGUCGGCUGUGAAAACCCGGGGCUCAACCCCGGGCCUGCAGUCGAUACGGGCAGGCUAGAGUCCGGUAGGGGAGACUGGAAUUCCUGGUGUAGCGGUGAAAUGCGCAGAUAUCAGGAGGAACACCGGUGGCGAAGGCGGUUCUCUGGGCCUUACCUGACGCUGAGACGCGAAAGCGUGGGGAGCGAACAGG
rnacentral:rRNA from 1 species